rfam:Cucumis sativus cultivar 9930 chromosome 2, whole genome shotgun sequence.
UAACAAUGAUGAUAUCUUGAAGGCUUGUUUCUCAAAACAUUCGCAGUGGCCGCCUAAGAGCUUUCGCCUUCGCCAGGCUUGAGAGCUAAUGCUGUUUUAAUCCUUCCUUGGAUGUCUGAGUUU